UACGUAGGGUGCGAGCGUUAAUCGGAAUUACUGGGCGUAAAGCGUGCGCAGGCGGUUGUGUAAGACAGGUGUGAAAUCCCCGGGCUUAACCUGGGAAUUGCAUUUGUGACUGCACGACUAGAGUGUGUCAGAGGGGGGUGGAAUUCUACGUGUAGCAGUGAAAUGCGUAGAUAUGUGGAGGAACACCAAUGGCGAAGGCAGCCCCCUGGGAUAACACUGACGCUCAUGCACGAAAGCGUGGGGAGCAAACAGG
rnacentral:rRNA from 1 species